AACGGAGGGUGCAAGCGUUGUUCGGAAUUACUGGGCGUAAAGCGCGUGCAGGCGGCAUUCUAAGUUUCGUGUGAAAUCCCUUGGCUUAACCGAGGAACAGCGCGGAAAACUGGAAGGCUCGAGUACGGGAGAAGUGGGCGGAAUUCCCAGUGUAGAGGUGAAAUUCGUAGAUAUUGGGAGGAACACCGGCGGCGAAAGCGGCUCACUAGACCGAUACUGACGCUCAUACGCGAGAGCAUGGGUAGCAAACAGGAUUAGAUACCCUGGUAGUCCAUGCUGUAAACGAUGGAUGCUAGGUGUUCGGGGAGUUGACCCCCCGAGUGCCGAAGUCAACACAUUAAGCAUCCCGCCUGGGAAGUACGGUCGCAAGACUAAA
rnacentral:rRNA from 1 species